rnacentral:misc_RNA from 1 species
AACACUGGUGCGCAAGGCGGAAGAAAUGGAGGUGAUGUGCAUGGUCUACUCCGGUCUUAUUGGGGCCAUCAUGUUAUGCCUUCUCGGUUCGGCACUCUAGGUUUCCUCAUCUACACGUAGUGUUACCAAGCACUGUGCCUGAGCCGGGAAAUGCGGCCACUGCUAGUGCUCUUCUUCGACCUCCUCAAAAACAUAACUGCUGGACUUGUCUCGUCGUUGGCCAAGAACAUGCUCACAGCGAAGCUAGCGUGGGCGUCGGACUGCAUGACGGUCCGUCACAAGCCACUCGAGCGAAUCGGCUGAUAUGGUGCCAUCUCUGUCGUCGAUGUCCUCGAUCGAACCCCAGUGCUGGCAACGGUUUAUGGGGUGGGGUUAUCCUCAAUGGAAGUUGUCAGAUACUGGAGACGGCGACGUGCAAACCGUUCCUAUGAAACGACACAAUUGAUGGCAACGUUGCGCACGGAACGCACAUCAGCGAGCACGACCCCAGGAGCGAUCACCUGGGAUAUUGCGCCGCCUGUGAGGUCGGGGUCGGCUGGUACCCCCACACACAAGUACCUGGACUUAGGGGUGUGUGCUUGACGAACUGCUGUCUAUGCUGCUUGUCGUGUACAGCUUCCUUCUGAUGAGCUAUGUGUCGGCUCUGGUGGCGGGGAUUGCCGUCUGAUGUCGUUGUGAAGCAUCGACUGUCUUUUGAAGCAGCAUGCCGUGUUGUUGCUUGGGGGCAUUGCCUUGUCCCAUCAUCUUCUUGCACCCAUCGACUGGUUUAACAAGCGCACGGAGCGCGCGUGGGCCUGGCCGCCGGCGUCGCCUCUGUCCCCGCGUGCUGCUGCGGCAGCAGAACAAC